GUUUGAUUCUGGCUCAGGACGAACGCUGGCGGCAUGCCUAACACAUGCAAGUCGAACGGAGUUAUUAUUCAGAAGUUCUUCGGGAUGGAAGGAUAAGAACUUAGUGGCGGACGGGUGAGUAACGCGUGGGUAACCUGCCCUUUUGUGGGGAACAACUUCGAGAAAUCGGAGCUAAUACCGCAUAAUAAUAGAGGAUCGCAUGAUUCUUUAAGGAGAGAUGGCCUCUGAAGAUGCUAUCGCAAAAGGAUGGACCCGCGUCUGAUUAGCUAGUUGGAAGGGUAACGGCCUACCAAGGCAACGAUCAGUAGCCGGCCUGAGAGGGUGAACGGCCACAUUGGGACUGAGACACGGCCCAAACUCCUACGGGAGGCAGCAGUGGGGAAUCUUCCGCAAUGGGCGAAAGCCUGACGGAGCAAUGCCGCGUGAGUGAAGAAGGCCUUCGGGUUGUAAAACUCUGUCCUUAUCGAAGAGAGGUAGGUAUGUGAAUAAUGUACCUAUAGGACGGUAGAUAAGGAGGAAGCCCCGGCUAACUACGUGCCAGCAGCCGCGGUAAUACGUAGGGGGCGAGCGUUGUCCGGAAUCACUGGGCGUAAAGGGCGCGUAGGCGGUUUAAUAAGUCAGUGGUGAAAACUGAGGGCUCAACCCUCAGCCUGCCACUGAUACUGUUAGACUUGAGUAUGGAAGAGGAGAAUGGAAUUCCUAGUGUAGCGGUGAAAUGCGUAGAUAUUAGGAGGAACACCAGUGGCGAAGGCGAUUCUCUGGGCCAAGACUGACGCUGAGGCGCGAAAGCGUGGGGAGCAAACAGGAUUAGAUACCCUGGUAGUCCACGCCGUAAACGAUGGAUACUAGGUGUUAGUAGUUUCGAUGCUACUAGUGCCGGAGUAAACACAAUAAGUAUCCCGCCUGGGGAGUACGGUCGCAAGACUGAAACUCAAAGGAAUUGACGGGGGCCCGCACAAGCGGUGGAGCAUGUGGUUUAAUUCGACGCAACGCGAAGAACCUUACCAAGACUUGACAUCCUCCUGACAAGAUAUGUAAUGUAUCUCUUUUCUUCGGAGACAGGAGAGACAGGUGGUGCAUGGUUGUCGUCAGCUCGUGUCGUGAGAUGUUGGGUUAAGUCCCGCAACGAGCGCAGCCCUUAUUUCUAGUUGCCAGCAGUAAGAUGGGGACUCUAGAGAGACUGCCAGUGACAAACUGGAGGAAGGUGGGGAUGACGUCAAAUCAUCAUGCCCCUUAUGUCUUGGGCUACACACGUGCUACAAUGGUCAGAACAGAGGGAAGCGAAGCCGCGAGGUGGAGCAAAUCCCGGAAAACUGAUCUCAGUUCGGAUUGCAGGCUGCAACCCGCCUGCAUGAAGUCGGAAUCGCUAGUAAUCGCGGGUCAGCAUACCGCGGUGAAUACGUUCCCGGGCCUUGUACACACCGCCCGUCACACCACGAAAGUUAGUAACACCCGAAGCCGGUGGCCUAACCCGCAAGGGAGGGAGCUGUCGAAGGUGGGACUGAUGAUUGGGGUGAAGUCGUAACAAGGUACCC
rnacentral:rRNA from 1 species